rnacentral:rRNA from 1 species
AAAUUGAAGAGUUUGAUCAUGGCUCAGAUUGAACGCUGGCGGCAGGCCUAACACAUGCAAGUCGAACGGUAACAGGAAGCAGCUUGCUGCUUUGCUGACGAGUGGCGGACGGGUGAGUAAUGUCUGGGAAACUGCCUGAUGGAGGGGGAUAACUACUGGAAACGGUGGCUAAUACCGCAUAACGUCGCAAGACCAAAGAGGGGGACCUUCGGGCCUCUUGCCAUCAGAUGUGCCCAGAUGGGAUUAGCUUGUUGGUGAGGUAACGGCUCACCAAGGCGACGAUCCCUAGCUGGUCUGAGAGGAUGACCAGCCACACUGGAACUGAGACACGGUCCAGACUCCUACGGGAGGCAGCAGUGGGGAAUAUUGCACAAUGGGCGCAAGCCUGAUGCAGCCAUGCCGCGUGUAUGAAGAAGGCCUUCGGGUUGUAAAGUACUUUCAGCGGGGAGGAAGGUGUUGCGGUUAAUAACCGCAGCAAUUGACGUUACCCGCAGAAGAAGCACCGGCUAACUCCGUGCCAGCAGCCGCGGUAAUACGGAGGGUGCAAGCGUUAAUCGGAAUUACUGGGCGUAAAGCGCACGCAGGCGGUCUGUCAAGUCGGAUGUGAAAUCCCCGGGCUCAACCUGGGAACUGCAUUCGAAACUGGCAGGCUUGAGUCUUGUAGAGGGGGGUAGAAUUCCAGGUGUAGCGGUGAAAUGCGUAGAGAUCUGGAGGAAUACCGGUGGCGAAGGCGGCCCCCUGGACAAAGACUGACGCUCAGGUGCGAAAGCGUGGGGAGCAAACAGGAUUAGAUACCCUGGUAGUCCACGCCGUAAACGAUGUCUACUUGGAGGUUGUGCCCUUGAGGCGUGGCUUCCGGAGCUAACGCGUUAAGUAGACCGCCUGGGGAGUACGGCCGCAAGGUUAAAACUCAAAUGAAUUGACGGGGGCCCGCACAAGCGGUGGAGCAUGUGGUUUAAUUCGAUGCAACGCGAAGAACCUUACCUGGUCUUGACAUCCACGGAAGUUUUCAGAGAUGAGAAUGUGCCUUCGGGAACCGUGAGACAGGUGCUGCAUGGCUGUCGUCAGCUCGUGUUGUGAAAUGUUGGGUUAAGUCCCGCAACGAGCGCAACCCUUAUCCUUUGUUGCCAGCGGUUAGGCCGGGAACUCAAAGGAGACUGCCAGUGAUAAACUGGAGGAAGGUGGGGAUGACGUCAAGUCAUCAUGGCCCUUACGACCAGGGCUACACACGUGCUACAAUGGCGCAUACAAAGAGAAGCGACCUCGCGAGAGCAAGCGGACCUCAUAAAGUGCGUCGUAGUCCGGAUUGGAGUCUGCAACUCGACUCCAUGAAGUCGGAAUCGCUAGUAAUCGUGGAUCAGAAUGCCACGGUGAAUACGUUCCCGGGCCUUGUACACACCGCCCGUCACACCAUGGGAGUGGGUUGCAAAAGAAGUAGGUAGCUUAACCUUCGGGAGGGCGCUUACCACUUUGUGAUUCAUGACUGGGGUGAAGUCGUAACAAGGUAACCGUAGGGGAACCUGCGGUUGGAUCACCUCCUUA